AUUUUGUGCGUGUUUUUCCUCUCGUUUAUCUCCAGGUCCGUAUUCACACUGCUAGAUUCUGUGCAAACCCAAGAGAAAUCGAAUUCCCCAUUCAGUAGGGGAUUAAUACUUCUCCUGAGAUGUUUCUGACGCAGGAGGCUUGCAGAUGUUCUUAUACAAGCCUUUAAAAGGACAUUCAACAUGUGGCAUUGCAAGAACAGAUUCAGCAAACUUUAGCUGUGCUGAAAAAAUGAUCUGGGGAAUGCCGGUUAGUGGCACUGCUGAAGAGGCCAUCUCACCCUACAAUGAAGACAGGUAAUUUCCCAGCUUCCUCAAGAACCUGCACCACAUGCUAAACUCCCAACUCCUCCUCCUGUCUGGGGAAGUGGAGGCAAAAAGGAAGAAGAGAUCUGGGAAAUCUUGCCUCCACUCAUGCACUCACAGAAACUGAGCUGAUCUGGGAACCUGGAGCCUACUUCUCACUCAAUUUUCUUGUCCUGAGGGUAAUCCAAAGCUAGUCUUCCCUUUGAGAAGACAAGUGUGUCCACUCCACUCACCCCAGCCCUUGAUGGUAGAAAUUCACCCCAGGCCACGUGGUCAGAGUGGAAGUGCAGCGGAUGGUCCUUUGCCACGGAAAUGACCGAUCAGUGUGAUUUUCAAGACAUAUUUUGACUGCAAGCAAGUGCGCUGAAGUGUUACAUCGUCUGUGAAUUUGGCUUUUAUGCACCGUGGGUUAAUGAGUAAUCCACUGCGUACCUUUAUCUUGCAGAGUUUUGUGUUAAAUUGUUGGUUGCACCAGAAGGAAUGGAACUUUUUAUACUAAUUAAUAGUGAUAUUUUUUGUUUAAUGUGGCAGCUGAGAUCAAGAAACAAAUUGUUCUAAAGUGAAUUAAAUUGGAGGGCUGAGUUAUCCAACAGAUUCCUGUUGUCGAAAUGUGGAGAUCCUGCCCCCUUUCCCAACCCUUCUUCCCCUUGCCCAGGGACAGGCUCACCUUCAGCCCUCUGCCAGUUCUCACACGUGUGGGAUCCCUCACUGAGCUGAUCAAAUUUGCUAACCCAGCAGGUUAAAGGGAACAGCUUCUGUGGGGUUAAUGGCUGACCUUAUGUAAUUUCACGCUUAAACAAAGUGAUUGUGCAAGCACUGGGACACGUGAGCCGCAGGCACGACACGGCAUCUGCUCACAGAUGAUCAUUUGCGAUUGCUUCCCCUCUCUUCAAUUAUUAACAUUUGGGCCAAGAGACCUCCUGUUUAAGCCUGGGUUACCACAAACAAAAUUGAUGAGUCAAGACUCCGCAACAGCUCAUAUCCUCUGUGGCUCACCAAAGAGACCUCUAACACCAAAAGACUCCAGUUGCAUGACAUGAGGUUCAAUUCCAAUUUUCCCAUCUAAUUGUUUGACUUCUUACCAACAAUAGUCUGGGAAGAAAAAAAAAAAAAAGCAAGAAACCAAUCUUAUGAGCAUUGCUUCCUGUUUUCUGAAGCUGACUCCAGAACAACAGUUUGUGUAAUGAUGAUGAACUGUUAAAUAUAAUUAGGUCUUUUUCCCUAUGGACUUUGUAAUAAAAAUUGUAAACAAUAUUUUGCAAAUAAAGCUGCAGGCCUACAGGCUGUCACUCCCAGAUGGCAUGAAUUAGCGGAGGAAGAUUUGUUGUGCUUCCUUUCCCCGGCAAUCCACCCCUCCCUUGGUUCUGGAUGUGCUAGCCUUGG